AUUGAACGCUAGCGGGAUGCCUUACACAUGCAAGUCGAACGGAGUGGCGAACGGGUGAGUAAUGUAUCGGAAUGUGCCCAGUAGCGGUGGAUAACUACGCGAAAGCGUAGCUAAUACCGCAUACUCUUGGAGCGGCCGAUGUCGGUUUAGCUUGUUGGUGGGGUAGCGGCUCACCAAGGCGACGAUCCCUAGCGGGUUUGAGAGGACGACCAGCCACACUGGGACUGAGACACGGCCCAGACUCCUACGGGAGGCAGCAGUGGGGAAUUUUGGACAAUGGGGGAAACCCUGAUCCAGCCAGCCCGCGUGUGCGAUGAAGGCCUUCGGGUUGUAAAGCACUUUUGGCAGGAAAGCGGUACCUGCAGAAUAAGCACCGGCUAACUACGUGCCAGCAGCCGCGGUAAUUC
rnacentral:rRNA from 1 species